rnacentral:rRNA from 1 species
UCCUCCCUCUGGCUGCGUGCUUAACACAUGCAAGUCGAACGGAAAGGCCCUGCUUUUGUGGGGUGCUCGAGUGGCGAACGGGUGAGUAACACGUGAGUAACCUGCCCUUGACUUUGGGAUAACUUCAGGAAACUGGGGCUAAUACCGGAUAGGAGCUCCUGCUGCAUGGUGGGGGUUGGAAAGUUUCGGCGGUUGGGGAUGGACUCGCGGCUUAUCAGCUUGUUGGUGGGGUAGUGGCUUACCAAGGCUUUGACGGGUAGCCGGCCUGAGAGGGUGACCGGCCACAUUGGGACUGAGAUACGGCCCAGACUCCUACGGGAGGCAGCAGUGGGGAAUAUUGCACAAUGGGCGGAAGCCUGAUGCAGCAACGCCGCGUGCGGGAUGACGGCCUUCGGGUUGUAAACCGCUUUCGCCUGUGACGAAGCGUGAGUGACGGUAAUGGGUAAAGAAGCACCGGCUAACUACGUG